rnacentral:rRNA from 1 species
AGAGUUUGAUCAUGGCUCAGAACGAACGCUGGCGGCAGGCUUAACACAUGCAAGUCGAGCGCCUCGCAAGAGGAGCGGCAGACGGGUGAGUAACGCGUGGGAAUCUACCCAUCACUACGGAACAACUCCGGGAAACUGGAGCUAAUACCGUAUACGACCGAGAGGUGAAAGAUUUAUCGGUGAUGGAUGAGCCCGCGUUGGAUUAGCUAGUUGGUGGGGUAAAGGCCUACCAAGGCGACGAUCCAUAGCUGGUCUGAGAGGAUGAUCAGCCACAUUGGGACUGAGACACGGCCCAAACUCCUACGGGAGGCAGCAGUGGGGAAUAUUGGACAAUGGGCGCAAGCCUGAUCCAGCCAUGCCGCGUGAGUGAUGAAGGCCUUAGGGUUGUAAAGCUCUUUCACCGGAGAAGAUAAUGACGGUAUCCGGAGAAGAAGCCCCGGCUAACUUCGUGCCAGCAGCCGCGGUAAUACGAAGGGGGCUAGCGUUGUUCGGAAUUACUGGGCGUAAAGCGCACGUAGGCGGACAUUUAAGUCAGGGGUGAAAUCCCAGAGCUCAACUCUGGAACUGCCUUUGAUACUGGGUGUCUUGAGUAUGGAAGAGGUGAGUGGAAUUCCGAGUGUAGAGGUGAAAUUCGUAGAUAUUCGGAGGAACACCAGUGGCGAAGGCGGCUCACUGGUCCAUUACUGACGCUGAGGUGCGAAAGCGUGGGGAGCAAACAGGAUUAGAUACCCUAGUAGUCC